GAGGGUAUAGCUCAGUGGUAGAGGAUGUGUUUAGCAUGCAUGAGGUCCUGGGUUUAAUCCCCAGUACCUCUA
rnacentral:tRNA from 1 species